AAUGCAAACAGUGUGGGAAAGCCUUCAGCCGUCACAGUUCCUUUCAGAGACAUAAAUCUAUUCCACACCGUGGAAAACCCCUAUGAGUGUCAGCAGUAUCUAAUCCCUUUGCCCCUAUUUCCUCCAAGUACAUCGGACAACUCGUUCUGGUGAGAAACACUACGGAUGUGAGCAGUGCUGAAGUGUUGUCCUUACCCACGUAAAACACAUGCAAGAACAAAGAUGUCACAGAAUAAGCCUCAUCCACAGAAAUGAUUCCAUUUAGACUUCAAAGGCACGAAGGACUUCAUGCUGGGCACAGUUUCUACAAAUGUAAGCAAUGCGUGGUAAGUCCUUUAUUGGUCACUUUCCUUUCACAGAAACAAGUAAUUCAUGCCUUAUGAAUGGAAACAAUAUGGUUAGUCUUUUAUCCCUGUUUGCUUCAAACAUGAAAAAAACUUAAGGUGCAGAAUGCUGUGAAUGUCAACAGCUGAAGCCUUCCAGAGUUGCAGGUCCCUUCAGUGUCGUGAACGGCGUCUUCCUGGAGGAAAAACCCUGUGAUGUUUAGGUGCCAUUGCCUCCAUAGAUCCCAUGACAGUCUUCUUUUGGAAACAAUGCCUGUGAGUGGAAACAAAGCUGUGACGCCCUCACGCUCAGUUCCUUUCAAAGAUGUACAAAUAUUAGUGGUGGGACAAAGCCAUAUACAUAACAAAUCUGGUAAGUUUCGGUUGUCAGUAGGUGUCAGCUUUGUCAGUAGUGCAGCUGCCUGUAAGUUGCCUGUGCUCAGUAACCCAAUUAAAGUCAGUGGUGCCCCAGGC
rnacentral:lncRNA from 1 species